rnacentral:rRNA from 1 species
AACGACUCUCGACAACGGAUAUCUCGGCUCUCGCAUCGAUGAAGAACGUAGCGAAAUGCGAUACUUGGUGUGAAUUGCAGAAUCCCGUGAACCAUCGAGUCUUUGAACGCAAGUUGCGCCCGAAGCCAAUAGGCUGAGGGCACGUCUGCCUGGGUGUCACACA